UACGGGGGGGGCAAGCGUUGUUCGGAAUUACUGGGCGUAAAGGGCUCGUAGGCGGCCAACUAAGUCAGACGUGAAAUCCCUCGGCUUAACCGGGGAACUGCGUCUGAUACUGGAUGGCUUGAGGUUGGGAGAGGGAUGCGGAAUUCCAGGUGUAGCGGUGAAAUGCGUAGAUAUCGGAAGGAACACCUGUGGCGAAAGCGGCUCACUGGACCAUUACUGACGCUGAUGCACGAAAGCUAGGGGAGCAAACAGG
rnacentral:rRNA from 1 species